CUUAGUGGCGGACGGGUGAGUAACGCGUAAGAACCUACCUUUAGGAGGGGGACAACAACUGGAAACGGUUGCUAAUACCCCAUAAGCUGAGGAGUAAAAGGAAUAUUAUUCCGCCUAAAGAUGGGCUUGCGUCUGAUUAGCUUGUUGGUAGGGUAAAUGCCUACCAAGGCGACGAUCAGUAGCUGGUCUGAGAGGAUGAUCAGCCACACUGGGACUGAGACACGGCCCAGACUUCUACGGAAGGCAGCAGUGAGGAAUUUUCCGCAAUGGGCGAAAGCCUGACGGAGCAAUGCCGCGUGGAGGAUGACAGCCUGUGGGUCGUAAACUCCUUUUCUCAGAGAAGAAGUUCUGACGGUAUCUGAGGAAUAAGCAUCGGCUAACUUCGUGCCAGCAGCCGCGGUAAGACGAGGGAUGCAAGCGUUAUCCGGAAUGAUUGGGCGUAAAGCGUCUGUAGGUGG
rnacentral:rRNA from 1 species